rnacentral:lncRNA from 1 species
AGCACUUGAAAAAUAAAUACACAACUUAAUGUAGCUAUAUAUAUAUAUAUAUAUAUAUAUAUAUAUAUAUAUAUAUAUAUAUAUAUAUUAGCUAACCACUUGUCACUACCAUUACUUUAACACAUAAAUGUCACGUUUAACAUCUACAUAUGUUUAUUUAAAACUGCUCUAAAACUGAACUUAAAACACUAAUAAUUAAUCUUCUGCAUGCCCUGGGUUACCGUCCAAAACACGACUAAUGCAACAAAGAAAGUGACGGUCACUCACAAAGACUUAAUCUCAUUUUUACCUAGUAUGUUUGAGAAAACUUCUUUUAUCAUCUACAACAAAUAAAUCCAUAAGGUGUUUUGAUAAAACUAAAUUCUCAUCCAUUAAAACCCUACACCAUGCAUCUUCUUCACAAUUUCUGGCACACCGUUCAUAAUUCUCCAAAUCUAAUAGAAACUUCUUCUCUGACUUGGGACACUUUUUAGAAUUUUUGUUUCUCAAGUUUCUCCUUCUUCCUCCUCAUGUGAACUUUAAAAUUCAAUUGUUUUGCCUCAAUGAAAGGUCCCUUUAGCUUGCCUAUUCAUUUCUUCAAAUUCACUAUUAUGCUCCCUUGAUCUCUUUGAAAAUUGAUUUUCAUUAUCCAUAAUUCUCCUUUGUUCCUGUUGAGAAAAGAUACCAACUUUAGCCUUUCACCCUCAUAAAAACCCAAAAAUCAAUCCAUAAGAUCUUAUUAACUAUGUAAAGGUACCGACUAAAUCAUUUAACUAUACAACACAUUUCACAUACCAACUAAAUCAUUUACAUAAAUAAAAAUCCAAAAACAGAAAUAUAGAGAGAAAAUAAAAGCAGAGUACGUACCUUGCCGAUUGAAGCAUAAUAGCUACGGAGAUUGAUCGAUUCCCACCGUCGACAUGAUCCAUGUUGCUCAUUCAGAGGUUGAUGGUGUUGUUGCUGCUACAACUACUGCUAUUGUGGACGAUUUGAAGGUAUGACAUUAACAUCGCCUUCGCAGACCGACUGCUAUUGCGUCUGUUGUUUCGGAAGUGAAUAACCCAAAAAUUAUGCUAAUCUGAUCUAACCGUAUAGAGGAGUUGUUUCGGAAGUGAAUAACCCAAAAAUUAUGCUAAUCUGAUCUAACCGUAUAGAGGAGGAUGAGAUGAAGAGCUGGAGAUUUAUAGAGAACUAUACUAAUCAAGGAUCGCUUCUUUAGCUUCGAAAGACGAAACAAAAUUGAAUUGGAGGGGAUUUACAGAAGAGGAGGAAAAGGAAUCGAUUCGGCUGAAGACCGAUAAAGAGAUGAAGAGAAAAACAAAGUUAAAACCUUAGAAAAAUGGCUUCUUUAGUAUUAUCAUCGUCUCCGUGUUCAACAUCUUCUCCUUCUUCCUCUCUGUUUUCUGGUUUCUCUCUGCCGCAACAACAGUUUCCUUCCCAACAAUUCCCGUAAUCGAUAAAAUACACCUUCACCGAUUAAAUAGACAGGAACUUAGUGUAAUAUAGGAGAAGAAUGAGGUUGAGUAUGUUGAGAUAGAAAGAAGUGGAAGGAUUCAACAUUUGUGUGGAGAAUUGAAAGAGCCAGAGAAGGAAGACAGAUAUAUGGGAGUGGAACAAUGGAGAGAAGAUGAAAGAUCUUGACUGAUGAUAUACAAAGUUUUAAAGAUGGACUCGCGUGAAUUUUUCAAUUCAGCGAGUUAACUCAGAGUUGACUCACCGAUUUUUCGAAUAAAAAAUAUGAUCAUAUCAAGGUUUAUCCACCGAUUUACAUGAUGGUAUAGUUUUA